CCUACGGGGGGCAGCAGUGAGGAAUAUUGGUCAAUGGACGAGAGUCUGAACCAGCCAAGUAGCGUGAAGGAUGACUGCCCUAUGGGUUGUAAACUUCUUUUAUAUGGGAAUAAAAUGUUCCACGUGUGGGAUUUUGUAUGUACCAUAUGAAUAAGGAUCGGCUAACUCCGUGCCAGCAGCCGCGGUAUUACGGAGGAUCCGAGGGUUAUCCGGAUUUAUUGGGUUUAAAGGGAGCGUAGGUGGAUUGUUAAGUCAGUUGUGAAAGUUUGCGGCUCAACCGUAAAAUUGCAGUUGAAACUGGCAGUCUUGAGUACAGUAGAGGUGGGCGGAAUUCGUGGUGUAGCGGUGAAAUGCUUAGAUAUCACGAAGAACUCCGAUUGCGAAGGCAGUUCACUGGACUGCAACUGACACCGAGGCUCGAAAGUGUGGGUAUCAAACAGGAUUAGAUACCCGGGUAGUC
rnacentral:rRNA from 1 species